rnacentral:misc_RNA from 1 species
GCAAACUUGGUCAUUUAGAGGAAGUAAAAGUCGUAACAAGGUUUCCGUAGGUGAACCUGCGGAAGGAUCAUUACCGAGUGUCGGGCCCUCCCGGGGUCCACCCUCCCCACCCGUGUCUACCGUCCCUUGUUGCUUCAGCGGGCCUGCCCCCGGGCUCCGCGCCCGCUGGAGACGUCCAUGCGAACACUGUGUGAAGGUUGCCGUCUGAGUGGAUUUGUCCAAUCGUUAAAACUUUCAACAACGGAUCUCUUGGUUCCGGCAUCGAUGAAGAACGCAGC